GUUAUAUGGUCAAGCGAAUAAGCGCACACGGUGGAUGCCUUGGCGGUCAGAGGCGAUGAAGGACGUGGCAGCCUGCGAAAAGUAUCGGGGAGCUGGCAACAAGCUUUGAUCCGGUAAUGUCCGAAUGGGGAAACCCACCCGCUUGCGGGUAUCCUGCAGUGAAUACAUAGCUGCUGGAAGCGAACCUGGUGAACUGAAAUAUCUAAGUAACCAGAGGAAAAGAAAUCAACCGAGAUUCCGUAAGUAGCGACGAGCGAACGCGGACUAGCCCUUAAGCUGAUUUGGUUCUAGGAAAACGCUCUGGAAAGAGCGGCCAUAGAAGGUGAUAGCCCUGUAUCUGAAAGGGCCAUUUCAGUGAAGACGAGUAGGGCGGGGCACGUGAAACCCUGUCUGAACAUGGGGGGACCAUCCUCCAAGGCUAAAUACUACUGACCGACCGAUAGUGAACCAGUACCGUGAGGGAAAGGCGAAAAGAACCCCGGAGAGGGGAGUGAAAUAGAACCUGAAACCGUGUGCGUACAAGCAGUAGGAGCUCCGCAAGGAGUGACUGCGUACCUUUUGUAUAAUGGGUCAGCGACUUACUGUUCGUGGCAAGCUUAACCGUAUAGGGGAGGCGAAGGGAAACCGAGUCUGAUAAGGGCGCAUAGUCGCGGGCAGUAGACCCGAAACCGGGUGAUCUAGUCAUGCCCAGGGUGAAGGUGCGGUAACACGCACUGGAGGCCCGAACCCACUCCCGUUGCAAAGGUAGGGGAUGAGGUGUGAUUAGGAGUGAAAAGCUAAUCGAACCCGGAGAUAGCUGGUUCUCCUCGAAAGCUAUUUAGGUAGCGCCUCAUAUGUAUCCUCUCGGGGGUAGAGCACUGUUAUGGCUAGGGGGUCAUCGCGACUUACCAAACCAUUGCAAACUCCGAAUACCGAGACGGACUGUAUGGGAGACACACGGCGGGUGCUAACGUCCGUCGUGAAAAGGGAAACAACCCAGACCCACAGCUAAGGUCCCAAAUUUUGUGCUAAGUGGAAAACCAUGUGGAAAGGCACAGACAGCCAGGAGGUUGGCUUAGAAGCAGCCACCCUUUAAAGAAAGCGUAAUAGCUCACUGGUCGAGUCGGUCUGCGGGGAAGAUUUAACGGGGCUAAGCACAGAACCGAAGCUUGGGGUGCAUAACUUUGUUAUGCGCGGUAGAGGAGCGUUCCGUAAGCCGUUGAAGGUGGAUUGAGAAGUCUGCUGGAGGUAUCGGAAGUGCGAAUGCUGACAUGAGUAACGAUAAUGCGGGUGAAAAACCCGCACGCCGAAAGCCCAAGGUUUCCUUGCGCAACGUUAAUCGGCGCAGGGUGAGUCGGCCCCUAAGGCGAGGACGAAAGUCGUAGUCGAUGGGAAGCAGGUUAAUAUUCCUGCACCUCGCGUAAGUGCGAUGGAGGGACGGAGAAGGUUAGGUGUACCAGGCGUUGGUUGUCCUGGGGAAAGGCGGUAGGUUUGGAUCUUUGGCAAAUCCGGGAUCCUCUAAGACCGAGCACCGAGACGAGCCUUUAUGGCAAAGUCACUGAUACCACGCUUCCAGGAAAAGCUCCUAAGCUUCAGCUUACGCAGACCGUACCGUAAACCGACACAGGUGGGUAGGAUGAGAAUUCUCAGGCGCUUGAGAGAACUCGGGUGAAGGAACUAGGCAACAUGGCACCGUAACUUCGGGAGAAGGUGCACCCUUUUUGGUGGCUCGUGCGAGCUAUAGCUGAAGAGGGUCGCAGUAACCAGGCCGCUGCGACUGUUUAUCAAAAACACAGCACUCUGCAAACACGAAAGUGGACGUAUAGGGUGUGACGCCUGCCCGGUGCUGGAAGGUUAAUUGAUGGGGUCAGCCGCAAGGCGAAGCUCUUGAUCGAAGCCCCAGUAAACGGCGGCCGUAACUAUAACGGUCCUAAGGUAGCGAAAUUCCUUGUCGGGUAAGUUCCGACCUGCACGAAUGGCGUAACGACAGCGGCGCUGUCUCCACCCGAGACUCAGUGAAAUUGAAAUCGCUGUGAAGAUGCAGCGUUCCCGUGGCAAGACGGAAAGACCCCGUGAACCUUUACUAUAGCUUUACACUGAACGUUGAGUUCGUCUGUGUAGGAUAGGUGGGAGGCUAUGAAACCAUGGCGCUAGCUGUGGCGGAGCCAUCCUUGAAAUACCACCCUGUCGUGCUUGACGUUCUAACCUGGGCCCAUUAUCUGGGUCGGGGACCGUGUAUGGUGGGUAGUUUGACUGGGGCGGUCUCCUCCUAAAGAGUAACGGAGGAGCUCGAAGGUACGCUCAGCGCGGUCGGACAUCGCGCACUGUGUGCAAAGGCAUAAGCGUGCUUGACUGCAAGAUCGACGGAUCAAGCAGGUAGGAAACUAGGACUUAGUGAUCCGGUGGUUCUGUAUGGAAGGGCCAUCGCUCAACGGAUAAAAGGUACUCCGGGGAUAACAGGCUGAUACCGCCCAAGAGUUCAUAUCGACGGCGGUGUUUGGCACCUCGAUGUCGGCUCAUCACAUCCUGGGGCUGUAGUCGGUCCCAAGGGUAUGGCUGUUCGCCAUUUAAAGUGGUACGCGAGCUGGGUUCAGAACGUCGUGAGACAGUUCGGUCCCUAUCUGCCAUGGGCGUUGGAGAUUUGAGAGGGGCUGCUCCUAGUACGAGAGGACCGGAGUGGACGAACCUCUGGUGUUCCGGUUGUCACGCCAGUGGCAUUGCCGGGUAGCUAUGUUCGGAAGCGAUAACCGCUGAAAGCAUCUAAGCGGGAAGCGCGCCUCAAGAUGAGAUCUCCCGGGGCACAAGCCCCCUGAAGGAACCAUGUAGACUACGUGGUUGAUAGGUCAGGUGUGUAAGUACAGCAAUGUAUUGAGCUAACUGAUACUAAUGAUCCGUGCGGCUUGACCAUAUAACCU
rnacentral:rRNA from 1 species